rnacentral:rRNA from 1 species
AGCGAACGCUGGCGGCAGGCCUAACACAUGCAAGUCGAACGAACUCUUCGGAGUUAGUGGCGGACGGGUGAGUAACACGUGGGAACGUGCCUUUAGGUUCGGAAUAACUCAGGGAAACUUGUGCUAAUACCGAAUGUGCCCUUCGGGGGAAAGAUUUAUCGCCUUUAGAGCGGCCCGCGUCUGAUUAGCUAGUUGGUGAGGUAAAGGCUCACCAAGGCGAAGAUCAGUAGCUGGUCUGAGAGGAUGAUCAGCCACAUCGGGACUGAGACACGGCCCAAACUCCUACGGGAGGCAGCAGUGGGGAAUCUUGCGCAAUGGGCGAAAGCCUGACGCAGCCAUGCCGCGUGAAUGAUGAAGGUCUUAGGAUUGUAAAAUUCUUUCACCGGGGACGAUAAUGACGGUACCCGGAGAAGAAGCCCCGGCUAACUUCGUGCCAGCCGCCGCGGUAA